rnacentral:lncRNA from 1 species
UCUUACCACAGGGGCUGGAGUUAUUCAGGCGAAGGGUUCGGGUAACUGUGUCUCCUCCGGAGACCUGGGUGCCGAACCUGGAGGGGGACAGACUGGACUCAGUACAGCCACAGCCAGCGUACACCUUGCAGGCCUCCCUAUUCCUUGAGACACAACAAUAUUGAAAUUAGACCAACUGAUAACCCUACAAUAGCCUCUAAGUCUUCAAGUGAAAAGAAGAGUCGUACGUAUCUCACUUUAAAUCAAAAUGAUUAAGCUAAAAAAUGAUUAAGCUUAGUGAGGAAGGCACAUUCAAAGCUGACACAGGCAGAAAGCUAGCUUUGUGCCAAACAGACAAAUUGUGAAUGCAAAGAAAUGUAAUAUCUAGCAAAUGCCCUAUUUGUGAAAAUUUUGAAGUAAAAGAUAAUAAAGCAAAUAAAAUGUUAUGCAAACAAG